GACGAACGCUGGCGGCGUGCUUAACACAUGCGAGUCGAACGGAAAGGCCCUGCUUGCAGGGUACUCGAGUGGCGAACGGGUGAGUAACACGUGGGUGAUCUGCCCUGCACUUCGGGAUAAGCCUGGGAAACUAGGUCUAAUACCGGAUAGGAGCCAUUUUUAGUGUGAUGGUUGGAAAGUUUUUUCGGUGUAGGAUGAGCUCGCGGCCUAUCAGCUUGUUGGUGGGGUAAUGGCCUACCAAGGCGGCGACGGGUAGCCGGCCUGAGAGGGUGGACGGCCACAUUGGGACUGAGAUACGGCCCAGACUCCUACGGGAGGCAGCAGUGGGGAAUAUUGCACAAUGGGCGCAAGCCUGAUGCAGCGACGCCGCGUGGGGGAUGACGGCCUUCGGGUUGUAAACUCCUUUCGCUAGGGACGAAGCUUUUUGUGACGGUACCUAGAUAAGAAGCACCGGCUAACUACGUG
rnacentral:rRNA from 1 species